rnacentral:rRNA from 1 species
CCUACGGGAGGCAGCAGUGGGGAAUAUUGCGCAAUGGGCGAAAGCCUGACGCAGCGACGCCGCGUGGGGGAUGAAGGCCUUCGGGUUGUAAACCCCUUUCACCACCGACGCGGUAGGUGGGGAAGAAGCGCCGGCUAACUACGUGCCAGCAGCCGCGGUAAUACGUAGGGCGCAAGCGUUGUCCGGAAUUAUUGGGCGUAAAGAGCUCGUAGGCGGUCUGUCACGUCUGCCGUGAAAACCCGAGGCUUAACUCGUGGCUUGCGGUGGAUACGGGCAGACUAGAGGUAGGUAGGGGAGAACGGAAUUCCCGGUGUAGCGGUGAAAUGCGCAGAUAUCGGGAGGAACACCGGUGGCGAAGGCGGUUCUCUGGGCCUACUGACGCUGAGGAGCGAAAGCAUGGGGAGCGAACAGGAUUAGAUACCCUUGUAGUC